rnacentral:tRNA from 1 species
GCCGGAAUAGCUCAGUCGGUAGAGCAACCGCCUUGUAAGCGGAAGGUCGCAGGUUCGAUUCCUGUUUCCGGCACCA